GACGAACGCUGGCGGCGUGCUUAACACAUGCAAGUCGAACGAAGUGGCGAACGGGCGAGUAAUACGUGGGUAACCUGCCCUCCUUUUUGGGAUAAGCCUUGGAAACGGGGUCUAAUACCGUAUAAAGGGGGAUGGGCUCGUGGCCUAUCAGCGUGUUGGUGGGGUGAUGGGCUACCAAGGCGGUGACGGGUAGCCGGCCUGAGAGGGCGAACGGACACAGUGGGACUGAGAGACGGCCCAGAAUAGUACGGGAGGGGGCAGUGGGGGAUAUUGCACAAUGGGCGAAAGAGUGAUGGAGCGGCGCCGCGUGGGGGAUGAAGGCUUGCGGGUUGUAAACCUCUUUGGCUAUCGAGCGGGUAGGUGGAGAAGAAGCGCCGGCUAACUACGUGCCAGCAGCCGCGGUAAUAC
rnacentral:rRNA from 1 species